rnacentral:rRNA from 1 species
GACGAACGCUGGCGGCGUGCUUAACACAUGCAAGUCGAACGGAAAGGCCCUGCUUUUGUGGGGUGCUCGAGUGGCGAACGGGUGAGUAACACGUGAGUAACCUGCCCUUGACUUUGGGAUAACUUCAGGAAACUGGGGCUAAUACCGGAUAGGAUCUCCUGCUGCAUGGUGGGGGUUGGAAAGUUUCGGCGGUUGGGGAUGGACUCGCGGCUUAUCAGCUUGUUGGUGGGGUAGUGGCUUACCAAGGCUUUGACGGGUAGCCGGCCUGAGAGGGUGACCGGCCACAUUGGGACUGAGAUACGGACCAGACUCCUACGGGAGGCAGCAGUGGGGAAUAUUGCACAGUGGGAGGAAGCCUGAGGCAGAAACGCCGCGUGCGGGAUGACGGCCUGCGGGUUGUAAACCGCUUUCGCCUGUGACGAAGCGUGAGUGACGGUAAUGGGUAAAGAAGCACCGGCUAACUACGUG